rnacentral:rRNA from 1 species
UACAGAGGUCUCAAGCGUUGUUCGGAUUCAUUGGGCGUAAAGGGCGCGUAGGCUGCGGGGCAAGUCGGGUGUGAAAUCUCAGAGCUCAACUCUGAAACUGCACUCGAUACUGCUUUGCUCGAGGACUGGAGAGGAGAUUGGAAUUCACGGUGUAGCAGUGAAAUGCGUAGAUAUCGUGAGGAAGACCAGUGGCGAAGGCGGAUCUCUGGACAGUUCCUGACGCUGAGGCGCGAAGGCCCAGGGGGAGCAAACACGGG